GAGAACCAAGAGAUCCGUUGUUGAAAGUUUUGACUAUUGUAAUAAUAAAUCAAGUUUGACUGUAAAUAAAAAGUUUGGUUUAGUUAUAACCUCUGGCGGUGGGAUUGCUCCCGCCACCAAAGAAAUUUGUUCAAUAAAAAAACACAUGUGGUGCAAUUAAGCAAAUCAGUAAUGAUCCUU
rnacentral:misc_RNA from 1 species